UGACUCCUACGGGAGGCAGCAGUAGGGAAUCUUCCACAAUGGGCGAAAGCCUGAUGGAGCAACGCCGCGUGGGUGAAGAAGGUCUUCGGAUUGUAAAACCCUGUUGUUAGAGAAGAAAGUGCGUGAGAGUAACUGUUCGCGCUUCGACGGCAUCUAACCAGAAAGCCACGGCUAACUACGUGCCAGCAGCCGCGGUAAUUCGUAGGGGGCAAGCGUUAUCCGGAUUUAUUGGGCGUAAAGGGAACGCA
rnacentral:rRNA from 1 species